rnacentral:rRNA from 1 species
GAUGAACGCUGGCGGCGUGCCUAAUACAUGCAAGUCGAGCGAACAGAUAAGGAGCUUGCUCCUUUGACGUUAGCGGCGGACGGGUGAGUAACACGUGGAUAACCUACCUAUAAGACUGGGAUAACUUCGGGAAACCGGAGCUAAUACCGGAUAACAUAUUGAACCGCAUGGUUCAAUAGUGAAAGGCGGCUUUGCUGUCACUUAUAGAUGGAUCCGCGCCGUAUUAGCUAGUUGGUAAGGUAACGGCUCACCAAGGCAACGAUACGUAGCCGACCUGAGAGGGUGAUCGGCCACACUGGAACUGAGACACGGUCCAGACUCCUACGGGAGGCAGCAGUAGGGAAUCUUCCGCAAUGGGCGAAAGCCUGACGGAGCAACGCCGCGUGAGUGAUGAAGGUCUUCGGAUCGUAAAACUCUGUUAUCAGGGAAGAACAAAUGUGUAAGUAACUGUGCACAUCUUGACGGUACCUGAUCAGAAAGCCACGGCUAACUACGUG